rfam:Schistosoma mansoni strain Puerto Rico chromosome 5, complete genome
GUCCAGCUGACGAGUCCCGAAUAGGACGGAACCGCGUGUCCUGGAU